GACGAACGCUGGCGGCGUGCUUAACACAUGCAAGUCGAACGAGUGGCGAACGGGUGAGUAACGCAUCGGAACGUACCGAGUAAUGGGGGAUAACUGUCCGAAAGGACAGCUAAUACCGCAUAUUAUUCGAGCGGCCGAUGUCUGAUUAGCUGGUUGGCGGGGUAAAGGCCCACCAAGGCGACGAUCAGUAGCGGGUCUGAGAGGAUGAUCCGCCACACUGUGACUGAGACACGGCCCAGACUCCUACGGGAGGCAGCAGUGGGGAAUGUUGGACAAUGGGCGCAAGCCUGAUCCAGUCAUGCCGCGUGUCUGAAGAAGGCCUUCGGGUUUUAAAGGACUUUUGUCAGGGAAGCGGUACCUGAAGAAGAAGCACCGGCUAACUACGUGCCAGCCGCCGCGGUAAUUC
rnacentral:rRNA from 1 species